UAAAAGAAAGAGGAGCCGGUAUCAGGCUCAAUUCGCCCAUGACACCUAGCUCCGCCACACCCCCAAGGGUAUUCAGCAGUGAUCAACAUUGUAAACUAGCGCAAGCUAAAUUCAGUUACUAGCUAAAAAAACCGGUCAAUCUCGUGCCAGCCACCGCGGUUAUACGGGCAGGUUUAAAUUGAUAAGAUCGGCACAAAGCGUGGUUAGAUCCUUACCUCAAUAAAGCAAAAAGAAAGCCCGGCUGUGAUAUGCUUACGCUUUUAAUAACUUCAAUCACGAAAGUAGCUUUAACUCUUAUUGAACCCACGAUCGCUAGGGCACAAACUGGGAUUAGAUACCCCACUAUGCCUAGCCCUAAACUUUGACUUCUCCGCCUGGGGACUACGAGCGUUAGCUUAAAACCCAAAAGACUUGGCGGUGCCCUACACCACCUAGAGGAGCCUGUUCUAUAAUCGAUAAUCCCCGAUUCACCUCACCACCUCUUGCCGAUACCGCCUGUAUACCUCCGUCGCCAACUGACCCCUUAAGGGUAUUAGUCGGUUAAAUGGCCUUCCUCCAGUAAGUCAGGUCAAGGUGCAGCGAAUGAGAUGGGAAGAAAUGGGCUACAUUUUCUACUAAUAGACUACACGAAAGAUCACUAUGAAAUCUGAUUGGAAGGUGGAUUUAGCAGUAAAAAGAGACUAGAGCGCUCUUUUUAAGUUGGCUCUAGGGCGCGCACACACCGCCCGUC
rnacentral:rRNA from 1 species